rnacentral:lncRNA from 1 species
UUUGUUUAAAACAAAGACUAAACGUGGUUUUGCUUGACAAAGGCUAACCCUCGUUUGAAUAGCCGGACAAAAAAAAAAAAAUGUUCUCUAGGGAAAUUUCACCCUGGAUCAAGUUUUCAUAUCAAAUGUAGCUCCAAAGCAAGACUAAGUGAGCUGCCUGUCAAUUCUGUACACAAACUGAUCAUUAGAUUUAUUGUUCAAUUAAUGAAUAAAGAGGGAAAGAAAAAUAAAUGGAGAAAAGAGAAGCUUAAUAGUAGCCACACAACUCCAUUAGAGCUAAAAGAUUUUUUACGCAAUUAUAAGAAAUCAUAAUGAUGCAAAAAGAUAAUGACCGCAUUUCUUUGUUUAUGAUAGAGUCAUGUUGGUAGUUUGGAUAAUACCGAGGGUGACAGCUAUGAUGCAUCUGCUAUCACAGUGGUAAUCGUAAUGGGAGCAAUCCUUGCUAUUCAGUAUACUAUCUUAGUAUUCGCUGUAUGCUGUAAAGUUUGGGAGAGAGCAAAUAGAUCUCGGUCAGAUGAACUGGACUCUGAAUCACUAUCUAUAAAUAGAUUCCCCUUCUUACCUUCCUACGAGGUAGCGAUGCGUGAGAAUCGAACAAGUCCGCCAAAUAUGUACACGACGUCAACCUACCUGGAUGCUUGUAUUGUCAACGAGAUUAUUCAAGAUGUGGCAGGCUAGAUGUUGUCCUUCUGGCUCGAUCAACAAAGCAGUUGAUCAUCCUAAAUUAAGGCGUCAGCACGGCACGGUAAUCCCUACGAUGAAGCUUUACAUCGGAGAUGAGUGGUCUCGAUGUAAACAUUUUCAUGGACUGAAUUACAUGAUGAUAUUGGUAUCAACUGCGCACUGGAACUAUUCUCUGUUUCCAUACCACUGUAACAUAUGCGAUUUAGCGUAGCAUUUCAACAACUGGAGAGUUAACUGUUAACACUUCCACGCAUUAGAAUAUUUAGUACAUAUGGCAUGAACCUGCUCUGUGUGAGUGCAAUCUGUAUCGAAACUACUAUGCGAAAUUGAGCAUCUUGUCUCAGAAAUUUUCCUGAACUUAAAUUAGUGCUCUGUACGUGUAACCAUAGCAUUGGCAUCGAUGAUGACACUGGAAUCAUCACAAAAAUGUAUCUAACGGAAAAUUUAAUGGAGGUUUAAAUGCAUAGAUCAGUAACAAUAUUAUGAAACAUUUCUUGAUUUAAAUGUUGACCAUUGGGAUACCUAUGCAACUACCUUUGUAACGUAAUGUUUUUUAAAUCAACAGCAAGAACCUUACAAUUUAGGGCUGCCAAAUUCGGAUAAUCUACAAAACAUGAAUAUUUUUAUUAGUGAUAUAUAAUCCAUUGUUGUUCCUCUCGGCGCCUCGAUACAAGCCCUCUAAUGUAUGAGGAGGUGAGGCGAUUUAAGCAAUUUUCCUUGUAAGGGCGGCAGAAAUUUGUUAAUGCAUCCUUCCACUCCCGUAAAAAAUCCUGGCUAAGUCCUUUGAAACAUCCAAGAAAUGAGAAAUUUGCAAUAAGGUUGAUAAUCAUGGUUGAAACCACUCUUUGUGGGAGGUUUUACACUGAGCCCUAGGUUUUGGUAUAAUCGACUGGGUAGACGAUGCUUCGAAGGGGUGGUUGUCGAAAGGAAUGGAAUUCUUCACCCAUCCACGUUCCUUCCGGGUGCGCUGUUUCUGCGAAGUACAGUUAAUUCUCCGACCCUAAUCUACCUAGCCUCUUAAUUAUAACUGAAAACAAGUCAGUCAGGACUGAAAUGAUUCACAGAGUUGAAUGUAACAGCUUAACCUAAUCUCCUCAGUGCACACGUGCACUUCUGCUAAACUAUUAACUCAAAAAUAACAUU